rnacentral:rRNA from 1 species
UACAGAGGUCUCAAGCGUUGUUCGGAUUCAUUGGGCGUAAAGGGUGCGUAGGCGGCGCGGUAAGUCGGGUGUGAAAGUCUCGGAGCUUUAACUCCGAAACUGCAUUCGAUACUGCCGUGCUUGAGGACUGGAGAGGAGACUGGAAUUUACGGUGUAGCGGUGAAAUGCGUAGAUAUCGUAAGGAAGACCAGUGGCGAAGGCGGGUCUCUGGACAGUUCCUGACGCUGAGGCACGAAGGUCAGGGGAGCAAACGGGG